CACGUAGUUAGCCGUCCCUUUCUGGUAAGCUACCGUCACAGUGUGAACUUUCCACUCUCACACCCGUUCUUGACUUACAACAGAGCUUUACGAUCCGAAAACCUUCUUCACUCACGCGGCGUUGCUCGGGUCAGGGUUGCCCCCAUUGCCGAAGAUUCCCUACUGCUCGCCUCCCGUAGGGAGUCUGGGCCGUGUCUCAGUCCCAGUGUGGCCGGUAUCCACCUCACGUCGGUCGAC
rnacentral:rRNA from 1 species